AGGGUGUUGGGGUCACUGAGCCAGCAGCUGUGAUGGCUGAGGGGCCAGGGAGCCCCAAAAUAGCAAAGGCCUGCUGGUGGAAAAACUCAGAGGUUUGAAAUAUCCUUCUUACUUCUGUAAAGAAAGGAAAAGCCUCUCCCACAAUGCCUUGUGAAUGAAUUGUAACCCUACACACCCCAGACUCUGUUUAAAGGAAAACUACAACUCCCAGCUGCCUGUGCGGCUGCAUGAUUGACCUGGUCCCUGCUUCGCCCCUUCCCUCUCCUCAUUGGUUCCCUUCCCUAGUCUCGCCUUUGUAGUGCCCCCAUACCCUCAGCUCAUUGGCUGCAAUGCUCUGCCCGGGCUGAGUACAAAAUGCUGGAUCUCGCGUUGCUUGCUCUCUUUCUUUCUGGCUUCCCUCUGUGGAGGAAGGAAUAAACCUCGAACGUGGAAUUUGCCAUGCGGAGAGCCCUCCUGACUCUUUAUCUCUGGGAGUUGUCCUGGACUGUCCACAUCAAGUGCCUCCAGUGUCCCUGUCAACCAGGAGAAUUCUUAGGAGAUUUUGGUUGUAGUCUGGAGCAAGCGGCAGUGCUCUCUUUUGCUCUUGGGUUUCCUGUUGCAUAGCAAAGCAUGGAAAGAAGAAGCUUAGGCUUUAGAGAGACAAGCUGGAAACUAUUGUGGCUGCUUCUUGAAUGCAGGAAUAAAGAGAGAUAGCCAUUUAAAAUCAAACAAAACCCAAACCAAACACAUCUGAACUGUGCUUACCAGUUAGUAAGAGAAUGCAAUUGUCUUAAACUCAAGGUAGGUAAAUAUUUUUACUGACUAAAAUGGCACUAAUUUUAAGAGUGAGACUACAAAAGAUUUAAAACAACAUUCAGAUAAACCACCCCUGGCCUGCAACCCUCUGUCUGAGGGAUAGCAGUCUUUCUACCUGUGGGAAAGCUGUGAGUGCUAGUUAGUGCUAUGGUCAAUAUCCAUCAGGAAGACACUGACCUUGCACUUUCUGAGGCCUCAACAGCUCAGUUCACUUACUCUCCUUAAUUGCAAAUAGCAUUAAAACUUUCUUUGUCCUCAUACUUUUCUUGGAAGAAGAGGGAUUUGCCUGCUUGACAAUUGCUAAAACUCAAAAAAAUUAGACCUCAGAGUUCUUGCUGCGUAACAGGCUAUGCUUUAGUCAAUAAUUUCAUAGCACAUUACAGGACUGGAAAAAACCCAAUUAUUUUAAAAUAAGUUAAUUACUCCUACUGCAUAGUGUUUCACUGCUGACUGUUGAGUGGCAUUCUGGAAGAAAUUAAAGCUUAAAUUUCCUUUCCAAACUGCCCAAACAAGAAGACAAAAGUCCUGGAUUCAUUUGAGGGGGUGUGGAGUGGGUAAACUUAAUACAUACCUUGCAUUUAGAAGUAAUUUGUUGUAACUAUCUUCUCUCUGUAUUAGUUCUUACAAUAUUUUAGAAAUCAAAAUAAUUUUGUUCCUGUCUGAUUGCACUUAAUGGAAGAAAAGAACAUGGUAAUUAAAAGCUUUCCUGUCUGAACAAGGUAAUCCUAUUAAUAAAAAGGCCAUACUUCUGUGCACAAGUUACUGCUAGCAAAGAACCCCGUCAGACAAUAUGAACAAAGCCAACUGGUUCAGCAUUUCAGUGCUCAGGGAGAUUAGUGAUUUUAAUUAUACAAAACUUUUUGGUUGCAAAUGUAUUUGUUUUAUUUAACAGAUUACCUUCUAGUUAGUUGUCUUAAUAGUCCUUUUGUUCAAGAGGGGGAUUUAAGCAAAAUGUAGAUCACAAGGUCCUGUUCUCCCUGAUUGGAGAGCAAACUGGCCUAAGUCACUGCAAGGAAGUACUGUCUUGGGCAGUACAGAAAAAACAUUAUCUCAAGUGGGAGUAAAUUCAAAUUAUCUAAGUAGUGGCACUGGAUUUUUCAGCAAACCUCUUUCAUAAAGUACUCCUAAGGAAGUAAAUAGGCGGUUUUCAUCUGUUCAGGUGAAGGAAGGAAUGAUCAGGAAGGAAUGAUCUUGGUGAAUCUUUAGGUGCCUAGCAUUAAGUAGGAAGAUUGAAAAACAGGAAGAAGUAGGGCCUUGGUUUGUUCGAACAUCUCUCUAAAUUUUCAGUAUUUUCAUAUAAGCAGCAGAAUGUAACUUUUUUUUCUGUGAAAACUGUUUGGGAUGAACUUGCAUUGGUCUUUCAUUUUAUUCUAUUCAUUAUUUGUUGUAGUAUACAAUCCUCUGAUAUUGUUAGGUAGAGAAGGAGAGCUAAUCUAACAGUGCCUGAGAAAUAUUUCC
rnacentral:lncRNA from 1 species